rnacentral:rRNA from 1 species
CCUACGGGGGACAGCAGUGAGGAAUAUUGGUCAAUGGGCGCAAGCCUGAACCAGCCAAGUCGCGUGAAGGAUGAAGGCCCUAUGGUUGGUAAACUUCUUUUAUAUGGGAAUAAAUUUCCGUAAGCCUACUGCUUCGCAUGUACCAUAUGAAUAAGGAUCGGCUAACUCCGUGCCAGCAGCCGCGGUAAUACGGAGGAUCCGAGCGUUAUCCGGAUUUAUUGGGUUUAAAGGGGGCGUAGGCGGACGCUUAAGUCAGUUGUGAAAGUUUGCGGCUCAACCGUAAAAUUGCUGUUGAUACUGGGUGUCUUGAGUGCAGCAGAGGCAGGCGGAAUGCGUGGUGUAGCGGUGAAAUGCUUAGAUAUCGCGAAGAACACCGAUUGCGAAGGCAGCUUGCUGGACAGUAACUGACGCUGAUGCUCGAAAGUGUGGGGAUCAAACAGGAUUAGAUACCCGAGUAGUC